ACGGGAGGCAGCAGUGGGGGAUAUUGCACAAUGGGGGAAACCCUGAUGCAGCGAUGCCGCGUGAGGGAAGAAGGUUUUCGGAUUGUAAACCUCUGUCCUAGGUGAAGAUAAUGACGGUAGCCUGGGAGGAAGCUACGGCUAACUACGUGCCAGCAGCCGCGGUAAUACGUAGGUAGCGAGCGUUGUCCGGAAUUACUGGGUGUAAAGGGAGCGUAGGCGGGAAUGCAAGUUGAAUGUUAAAUAUACAGGCUUAACCUGUAGAUGCGUUCAAAACUGUGUUUCUUGAGUGAAGUAGAGGUAGGCGGAAUUCCUAGUGUAGCGGUGAAAUGCGUAAAUAUUAGGAGGAACACCAGUGGCGAAGGCGGCCUACUGGGCUUUAACUGACGCUGAGGCUCGAAAGCGUGGGUAGCAAACAGGAUUAGAUACCCUGGUA
rnacentral:rRNA from 2 species